AUGGUUCAUAUUAGCUAUGUUUUCUAUUCUCUCUGUCAUGAGAUGUUCCAGAAAGUUGGAUCCCAGAGUGCAGAGAAUACAAGCCACCAUCAGCACGUGAUGAACAGCGGUGGAUAUGAAAAUGAAGUUUUUUGUUUUAAAUUCUUUUACUGGUACAUUUUAGGCCCUGCUGUGGUUGGAAGCAAAAUCCUGGAUUUCCUCAGUAGCUUGCAGUUGGAGGGCUGUUACUGUGGUUAUGACUUCAGCCUGAGUGCCAGGAGAAUUGAGCACUUAGCUUCUUGGUUAUGCUACCCAAUUUGAAUCCGAAUUGGCCUCCUGGGCUCCCUACAUCUGGUAAAUACACCACUGGGCGGCAAGUACAGACACUGGGAGCCUCAGCACCAUCUGUCACUCCUAACCACUUGCUUAGGAACACUGUGGAGGGGGAGAUUUUUAACUGUUUUGUUCUCUGCUGCGUCCUCAGUGUCUAUGACAUUGUCUGACACAUCCCAAAUGCCAAGCACAACCCAAAUUCCUGACCUGUACAAUUAUGAAUUAUAAUAAAAUCAUUGUCAUUUUGAACCAUUAAGUGGGGUUUUUUUUUGUCGGUUAAUAUAACAAAUAU
rnacentral:lncRNA from 1 species